rnacentral:rRNA from 1 species
UACGUAGGGGGCAAGCGUUGUCCGGAUUUACUGGGCGUAAAGAGCUCGUAGGUGGCUUGUUGCGUCUGCCGUGAAAGCCCGUGGCUUAACUACGGGUCUGCGGUGGAUACGGGCAGGCUAGAGGCUGGUAGGGGCAAGCGGAAUUCCUGGUGUAGCGGUGAAAUGCGCAGAUAUCAGGAGGAACACCGGUGGCGAAGGCAGCUUGCUGGGACGGUACUGACGCUGAGGCGCGAAAGCGUGGGGAGCAAACAGG